CAGAUUCAAUCAAAUCAAAUAUGAAAUGAGUAUAUGAGGUGAUGUCUUAUCAGUCAAUGAAGUGCUUAUAAUCUUAUGUAACACGUCAUAGGGUGCUUGAAUCAAUAGGAAAGCUUAUCAAUAUUUGGACAGCUUCAAUUACCGAGCGUCACUGAUAAUUGGAACAUUUUAACACGGCAACAGAAACAAAGUUAGGAGCCACACUUAAGAUAUUAGUGUCUCACUGUCUCAAGAAUCACUUGACACUUUUUUUGGUGGAUUAAUUAGUUUUGUGAUUGCCUUUUACCUUGCAAAGUUCAGGACUUUACACAAUAAAAUAUAUUUAAAACUGCAAAUAUUUAAAUAAUUCACUCUUAUUAAUUAAAAGGACUUCACUGCAUUUUUUGUGUCGGUUUCACAACCACAGAUUGGUCUACAAAAUGGAUUAUGAAGAAAAAAAUAUUCUUCAAUCUCGGUUCAACAAAUUGGAAAACUGAUGUCACGCUGAGCUAUUGCCUCCACUAAACUAUUAUCAGUUACCUAUGGAUCUUAUCUGAUAUUAAAUAGUCACUAGCUAUCAAAUUUAAAAAAGGCAGUCACGUGCUAAGGUGCUCUGCGAUGCCUACCCGCCACAGGAAUUUGUCAUGGUAGAGAUUCUCCGGAAGCUGGCAUUGCUACAUCUCUUCACAGAUGCCCCCUACCCACUGUUUGGCUGGACGCCCUCUCCGUCGCCUACCUGGAGGGAUCCCUUCCAACACCUUCUUUGGCAACCUAGUAUCAGCCAUCCUCUGCACAUGCCCAUACCGCACCAAAUGCUUGAUUGAUUAAAUUGUCUUCUUGAUUGAUAAAAUUCAAUAAAUAAUCCUUACUUUCCUCUUUGAUACUAUCCACAUAAUUACAAGGAAAAAUAAUGAAA